UGAGCCAGUGCUCCUGGGGGCGGGGGGGUGGGGGUGGCCGGCAGCCCAGGGCUUCCCCGAGUCAGGCGGACCCUCGCCCUAGCGUUUGCCCUCGGAGCCGGCAGAGGCCCGUUUCCCCCCGCGGCAAAGCUGACCUCUCUGUUUCUCUGAAGCUGAUGUUGGGCGUUAGAGUCCUGCAGAGCCUCGGAAGGACAGCUGCAGGGUGUCGUGUGCGUUUGUGCAUCUGCAUAUGUGUGUUGUGUGCCUGUGUCUGUGUCUGCGUCUGUGUGUUUUGGCUCUUUCUUGCUCAGGAGGAGGUGAGGGUUUGACCGCCCAGCCUUACAAGGGCUCCGGGCGGAGCCGCGGGACGAGGCCGGGAGUGUGCUCGGCACGCUGCUGGCCCAGCCUCUGCCAGGUGCUGGUCCCAGACACCGCUGUCCCCAGGGAACAGGAUCCCCAGGCCACCCUCUGGGCUGGGCCCUCUGCCCGGUCCGUGGACCCCAGGAGAGCACACCUCCACACCCCCACACCCCAACCCCAGACGGCGCGUCUACACUUGGUGCAACUUCACAACUGGGUCAUGGGUUUCUGCUCCAGGGACGUUUCAGGGGAAAGUCCCAUUUCCCUGGCUGAACUUUCUCGUCGGGAAGGAGGCCUGGCGAUGCCCUCAGCUGCCGGGGAGGGCAGGCUGAGCCGGAGCCCAGGGCGCGGGCUGCCUAGCUCUGGUGUCAGAGAACCCGCCACCCGCUGGGCACACUCUGUUUUCUCUUUACUUAAAUAUUUCAUGGCGCGCGGCCGUCGCGUAGACCCGGGAGCCGCCUCCAGCUCUCAGGGAGCAGAGCUGCCCAGAGCACGCUCGGCUUUGUCACUGGCCAGAGAAUUCUCACCUUGGUGGUUUCUCAGGGCACGUCGUCACUUCCCUCCUUUGCUACUUAUGCCCAGUUUGGCUUCUCCGUGGGGUGGUGUCGUGGAUUUGGAGACACCAAUUCUCUUUAAACAUCAAAAAUUACAUGAUGGGGCGCCUGGGGGGCUCAGUCGGUUUAGGCGUCUGGCUCUUGGUUUCAGCUCUGGUCACGAUCUUAUGGUUUGUGAAGUCGAGCCCCAUGUCGGGCUCUGUGCAGACAGCACGGAGCCUGCUUGGGACUCUCUCUCUCCGU
rnacentral:lncRNA from 1 species